GGGGGUAUAACUUAGGGGUAGAGCACUUGCCUAGCAUGCAGAAGGCCCUGGGUUCAAUCCCCAGUACUACCA
rnacentral:tRNA from 1 species